rnacentral:rRNA from 1 species
ACUGGUGGCGAGUGGCGAACGGGUGAGUAAUGCAUCGGAACGUGCCCAUCUGUGGGGGAUAGCUCGGCGAAAGCCGGAUUAAUACCGCAUACGAUCUAUGGAUGAAAGCGGGGGACCUUCGGGCCUCGCGCAGAUGGAGCGGCCGAUGUUAGAUUAGGUAGUUGGUGGGGUAAAGGCUCACCAAGCCAACGAUCUAUAGCUGGUCUGAGAGGACGACCAGCCACACUGGAACUGAGACACGGUCCAGACUCCUACGGGAGGCAGCAGUGGGGAAUUUUGGACAAUGGGCGAAAGCCUGAUCCAGCAAUACCGCGUGUGUGAAGAAGGCCUGCGGGUUGUAAAGCACUUUCAGUUGGGAAGAUGAUGACGUUACCAACAGAAGAAGCACCGACUAAAUCCGUGCCAGCAGUCGCGGUAAUACGGAUGGUGCGAGCGUUAAUCGGAAUUACUGGGCGUAAAGCGCGCGUAGGCGGCUAAGUCAGUCAGAAGUGAAAGCCCCGGGCUCAACCUGGGAAUUGCUUUUGAUACUGCUUAGCUAGAGUUUGGUAGAGGAUAGUGGAAUUCCAGGUGUAGCGGUGAAAUGCGUAGAUAUCUGGAGGAACAUCAGUGGCGAAGGCGACUGUCUGGACCAAAACUGACGCUGAGGUGCGAAAGCGUGGGUAGCAAACAGGAUUAGAUACCCUGGUAG